GACGUGAGGUUAAUAUCCGCCGAGCCAUCAAACUUAACACCGUUAAUUUUUGGGGCUGCCGCAAGUUUCGUCGCGGUAUCGGCGUUCCCCUUCAGUGCCCCGGUGAUCCCAUCAGUAACAGACAACGGACCUGAAAUAGUCCCUCCAGUCGUUGGCAGCGCUCCAAUAUCUGAUGGUGUAGGUUUCUGAUGUGAGCUAUACAUCGUAUAAACAACACCACCGGUAACGCUGGAAGGCUUACUCGC
rnacentral:rRNA from 1 species